rnacentral:rRNA from 1 species
GAUGAACGCUAGCGGCAGGCUUAACACAUGCAAGUCGAGGGGUAUAGUUCUUCGGAGCUAGAGACCGGCGCACGGGUGCGUAACGCGUAUGCAAUCUACCUUUUGCAGAGGGAUAGCCCAGAGAAAUUUGGAUUAAUACCUCAUAGUAUGUGAGAAUGGCAUCAUUUUCACAUUAAAGUCACAACGGCAAAAGAUGAGCAUGCGUCCCAUUAGCUUGUUGGUAAGGUAACGGCUUACCAAGGCAACGAUGGGUAGGGGUCCUGAGAGGGAGAUCCCCCACACGGGUACUGAGAAACGGACCAGACUCCUACGGGAGGCAGCAGGGAGGAAUAUUGGACAAUGGGCGCAAGCCUGAUCCAGCCAUGCCGCGUGCAGGAGGACGGUCCUAUGGAUUGUAAACUGCUUUUGUACAGGAAGAAACACUGGUUCGUGAACCAGCUUGACUGUACUGUAAGAAUAAGGAUCGGCUAACUCCGUGCCAGCCGCCGCGGUAAAAC